GGGGGAUUAGCUCAGCUGAUAGAGCACCUGCUUUGCACGCAGGGGGUCAGCGGUUUGAAUCCGCUAUCCUCCA
rnacentral:tRNA from 1 species